AGGGGUAGAAGCAGCUUGCUGCUUUGAGACCGGCGCACGGGUGCGUAACGCGUAUACAAUCUACCUUUUACAGAGGGAUAGCCCAGAGAAAUUUGGAUUAAUACCUCAUAGUAUUUUCGAAUCGCAUGAUUUGAUUAUUAAAGUUCCAACGGUAAAAGAUGAGUAUGCGUCCCAUUAGCUAGAUGGUAAGGUAACGGCUUACCAUGGCAACGAUGGGUAGGGGUCCUGAGAGGGAGAUCCCCCACACUGGUACUGAGACACGGACCAUACUCCUACGGGAGG
rnacentral:rRNA from 1 species